ACCAAAGUUGGCCUUUAAAAAAGACGACAAUUAACAGCGGUACCACAAAUGGUACCAUAACAGUUUUAGAACAACUACAUCCAGGAGUUCAACAACGUCUCAAAGCGUAUUAUAUUGUGUAUUGAAGGUGGGUGUACUGGGUGAAGUGGAUGCUAAACGAUGUUGCCGAAGCUUAUCGUUAGAAGGUCACCUUCAGCCGAGCUCUUCACUUCCACUACUACAGGCUGAGGGAGUGGCAACCGAAAAAGAAAUUGAAGUUUCCAGAGGUGACCACAGAGUAUCUUUGUGUCCGGGACCUCUGACAGACUGUUGAAAAUAGUAAUUUACCUAUGGUAAAUAAUCUUGUAAAAGAUUUAUUUUUUUCUACGAUUUACUUUAGUGCCCAUUCACAGCUUAUAAACUGCCUGUAGAUGUAAUUCCCAAAUCAUUCAACUGAGCCAAAUGUCCCAUGGAGAAGCAGUUAGGGGAGCAAAGCCCGGAGAUGAUGCGUGCACAAUACAUCAAGUCUUAGAUAAUAGUCAUCGACAAACGUAAACAUAUUGUUUGGUUCUGCUGCUACCUAGAACACAUCUGAUCAGAGAUUUUUAGACGACAACUCACCUUGAACAUUAAACUCAAGGCGGAUCUGAUUUCGGCAUAGAUGCGGACCUUUUUAAACCGGAGUACGUCUUCGAGUUUAACGAUAUGAUCCUCUUCCUCACGAAUAGCCAUGCUGGAGGUUAAUUCUCCACUGAAGAUCACCAUAAGUUGCAUAGGCAUGGCUAGCAUGAAAGCUAAGAAUGCCACCCGUAGCCAGUUUUCAUUGCGCUUCAGUGGCUCUUCACAGCAAGGCACACGCAAAGGAAUACGGGUAGAAGUGUAUUAAAUAACAUUACACAUUAGCAUCAAUUCAGUAGAUAGGAUUUGGGCUGACGUAAGUACCUGUACAUUUUUUGGCUUUAAAACCCUCAUUGGCUGAAAAACAAAUACAAAGUCUAAGGAACAGACCACGUCUAUC